rnacentral:tRNA from 1 species
GGGUUGGUAUCCAAACUGGUGAAGGAGCCUGACUGUAAAUCAGGUGCCAUGUGCUAAACGUGGGGGUUCAAGUCCCUCCCAACCCA